UGUCUGCUCGUGUAGAGAUGUCUUUUUUGUUUUCCUGGCAAAAGCCCACCUCCCAGACAUUUCUUUUUAACUCGGCAGCCGUUCGAAGCAGUUCGAUUUCUUUGUGAUCCAAGCGCCUAGCUCUUGAAAAACCGAUAGCCCCGAAGCAAUAUCUAUCUCUUCUACAAUAUAUCGAUAUAUAAAUGCACCGAUUGAUAAUGAUGCCCGUGCGUACUUUUCCCCUUGUGUACGUCGUAUUCGGGGAAGAUUCCAUGCCGGAACCAGAACCCGAUGAUCUUUAUUCAGACGAUGAUUACAUCGAGGAAAGCGAUACCGAUUCGGAGUCUGAAGAAGCGAUUCUAGAACCAAUAGAUGAAUACGAUUCCGAUGACUACUUCUCGGACUCUGACUUUUCCCUUUCCUAUAACUAAUUUAUACUACAUCAACACACAAUUUUACAAUGAGCUGUCAAGAAGCUAAAUAAAACAAUUACAAAUUAAAUAUUUUUGUAUAUAUUUGCCCAAGGUUCUAGACUUUCUGGAGGCAUAAAAUGGCGCACAUCGCAUCCGCAACAUUUGAGAAACGCUGUCCUACGGCUCAACUUUUUUGCGAUAAUGAAAGGGCACUUUUGCCCACCAGCAGGCAAAACUGGAGCACGGAGAUCACAGCGUAUGCAUUUUUCGCACGUUUUAAAUUGUGACUGCGACAUCGCAACCCUUAACCCCUCGCUUAACCCUUCGAUCGAGGUGGUUGCGACCCCGGCGGUUGUCUGCUGAUGCUAAACGUAUUAACCCAUGACCGCUUUAGCCAUUGUUUAUUGCCUAAUUUGCGGUUAAAUUUUGAUUUUGGCACAAUGAUUUCAUUUUCGAUUUCGCAUUUUCAGACAGAUUGAGAUUUAUGUGUGUGCCUGCUUGCCAAAUAAUAAGUCUGAGGAGAGUGUGCGAAUUUUUGGCGCGCCGUGUGCAGCGAUAAGGAAAAACACAAAGGAUCUCGAAAGGAAGACGUGAGAAAGAGCCAAAUUGGGAGGGCAAAAUAAAUCAGAUGAUCGCCCUACGGAAUGUAUGCAUGUAGGACAACCCAUAGUAAAACCCAUACUAAAAAAUAUUUAAUAAGCUCCAUUAAUCAUAC